GUCCAGGGAUGGCUAUCGAACCCACAGUGUUCCGCUUACCGGGCAGAUGCCAUGUCCACUAGGCUACCCUGGA